rnacentral:tRNA from 1 species
UAGCUUAGUUGGUAGUGCGUCUGCCUUGUAAGCGCUAGGCCGCGGGUUCGAGUCCCGC